CCCAAAACGACUUUAGUACUUUCAAGUAUUUUUACUGAAGUACUUUACACCACUGUCUAAACCCUCUCCCACUCCACCAUGUGACACAGCAGUCCACUGUCUAAACCCCUCUCCCACUCCACCAUGUGACACAGCAGUCCACUGUCUAAACCCCUCUCCCACUCCACCAUGUGACACAGCAGUCCACUGUCUAAACCCCUCUCCCACUCCACCAUGUGACAGAGCAAAACAUGUCUAAGACUGUCGUAGGCUGUGACUAUAAGAGAUGGUCGGAGAGUUCAGUCCACUGUCGUAGGCUGUGACUAUAAGAGAUGGUCGGAGAGUUCAUUCAGUCCACUGUCGUAGGCUGUGACUAUAAGAGAUGGUCGGAGAGUUCAGUCCACUGUCGUAGGCUGUGACUAUAAGAGAUGGUCGGAGAGUUCAGUCCACUGUCGUAGGCUGUGACUAUAAGAGAUGGUCGGAGAGUUCAUUCAGUCCACUGUCGUAGGCUGUGACUAUAAGAGAUGGUCGGAGAGUUCAGUCCACUGUCGUAGGCUGUGACUAUAAGAGAUGGUCGGAGAGUUCAGUCCACUGUCGUAGGCUGUGACUAUAAGAGAUGGUCGGAGAGUUCAGCCCACUGUCGUAGGCUGUGACUAUAAGAGAUGAACGGUUGCGGUU